rnacentral:rRNA from 1 species
CAGUCGCCGCGGGAAUACGGAGGGUGCAAGCGUUAAUCGGAAUUACUGGGCGUAAAGCGCACGCAGGCGGUCUGACAAGUCAGAUGUGAAAUCCCCGGGCUCAACCCGGGAACUGCAUUCGAAACUGGCAGGCUAGAGUCUUGUAGAGGGGGGUAGAAUUCCAGGUGUAGCGGUGAAAUGCGUAGAGAUCUGGAGGAAUACCGGUGGCGAAGGCGGCCCCCUGGACAAAGACUGACGCUCAGGUGCGAAAGCGUGGGGAGCAAACAGGAUUAGAUACCCGGGUAGUCCCUGUCUCUUAUAC